rnacentral:misc_RNA from 1 species
GAUGAAGAACGUAGCGAAAUGCGAUAAGUAAUGUGAAUUGCAGAAUUCAGUGAAUCAUCGAAUCUUUGAACGCACAUUGCGCCCGCCAGCAUUCUGGCGGGCAUGCCUGUUCGAGCGUCAUUUCAACCCUCGAGCCCCCCCGGGGGCCUCGGUGUUGGGGGACGGCACACCAGCCGCCCCCGAAAUGCAGUGGCGACCCCGCCGCAGCCUCCCCUGCGUAGUAGCACACACCUCGCACCGGAGCGCGGAGGCGGUCACGCCGUAAAACGCCGAACUUUCUUAGAGUUGACCUCGGAUCAGGUAGGAAUACCCGCUGAACUUAAGCAUAUCAAUAAGCGGAGGA